CUUUGAUUGUUUUUUGCCAAUUUUGAGGUAUACUUAGAGGGUUGACUGUAAUUGGAGUUUUACUGCAGUUAAAGCUGACUCAUUUCUUCAGAUUCACCAGUCUUUGUAUACUUUCAUGGGCUUUGCUUGUUCUUGAAUGGAUGGAUUAAUUGUUGUCGAGAUUUCACUACGAAUGCGGAGCCAAGCUUUAAUCACAAACGUGGGGCUCACCACUUGGAGCGAAGACUUUUUAGUAUGCGGAAGACUUGCGGAUGAGAGCUUCUCUAUGUAUUUUUCUUGAUGAUCCUUUUGGCUUGAUGAAGAUCCCUAUUUAUAAUUGUAGGGGAGAGCUAGGGUAUGUAUAUGAUUGGUUGAACUAUAUCAUUUGAACAUUUGACUACAUUUGAUUGGUCCUUCUAUUGUCUUGGCAUGUUGCAUCACUUAUACACGUGGCACGAUUUUAUUCGUCAUUGGUUUGACUUGGCGCGCCAUGUCAUUUGACACGUGGAGUGAACAUUGGGCUAAUGGAGCGGGCUCAUUAUUUGAAAACUAGCUCAAUGGACUAGCCCAAAUGAAAUUGGACUUUAAAUCCAUGUCUUGAAUUUAAAUAACUCGAUCUCGAUUUGAACUUGAUAUUUCUUGAACUAGGAAUUUAUCCAAAUUUAACAUGGAUUUCAAUUCCAAAAAAUUUGUAUGUCUAUAGUCUCAUUAUAUUUAUAGAAUUUGAGAGGUGAA